CCCCGGAGCCCUCUGGUCAAUCACUCACAAAAACUGAAGGGGAUUAUAGACCUGGAACCAUCAAAGGCUCCUGACGGGUCUUGGCGUAACGUUCGGCGGAGACACCAAAAGCCCGAGCAGCAAGAGCGAAGCGGCUGCGCGCGAGACCCUCCCCCGGCCCCGGCCCCGGCCCCGCAAGGAUCGACCCGGUGGGACGCGGCGUCUGCACCUCAUCCCAGGCCCAGCGCUCGCGACGAGCUCCUGAAGCCUGACGCAAGCGAGCCAAAUAGUCUCAUUAAAAAUGGGCAAAGGACCCGCACAGACCUGCAGCCCCCACCGCCCAGCAGGGCCCCCCCCACCGCCCAGGAGGGGCCCCCCAGCCCCACCGCCCAGCAGGGUCACCCCGCCCCCCACCGCCCAGCAGGGCCCCCCAAGCCCCACCGCCCAGCAGGGUCACCCCCCACCCAGCAGGGGCCCCCCACGACCCAGCAGGGCCCCCCCAGCUCCACUGCCCAGCAGGGCCCCCCCCACCACCGCCUGCGGGAACCCAGAGGCUGCGCCGCGGCCGGGCUGUAUGGGCCUGACCCGCAGCACCACCAGCUGCUUCUGCGGUCCCCCCUGGGUACACCGUCUCGAAGACACACGUGCACCUCCGGGGUCACUGCACAGUUGCCACGACGUGGGUCCACUGAUGGGUCAACGGAUGAGGAAAGUGUGGUGGACACUUGCCGCCCACGACGGUGGGUCACCCAGCCACACCAAGGAAGGGGGCCCGCCCUGGGACAAGUGGGUGGGCCCUGGGGACACCCCGCUGAGGGAGAAAAGUCAGACAGAAGUUGUAUGAUCUCACUGGCAUGUGGGGGCCAGAAAAACCAAAGGCACAGACAGAGAGCAGACUGCUGCUUGCAGGGAGGGGGGACGUUGAAGGUGGUCAAAGGACCAAAGGGUUCAAGCUUCCAGCAAGUCAUUUUUUUUCUUCCAGCAAGUUCUGAGGAUGUGAUACACAGCCUGACGACCACAGCCAACAACACCAUAUUGCAUAUUCCAAAGCUGCUAAGAGGGGAUCCCUGGGGGGCUCAGCGGUUUAGCUCUGCCUUUGGCCCAGGUCGUGAUCCUGGAGACCCAGGUUUGAGUCCCCCAUGGGGCUCCCUGCAUGGAACCUGCUCCUCCCUCUGCCUGUGUCUCUCAUGA
rnacentral:lncRNA from 1 species